CAGAAGAUGCUAUCUGGAGAAUAUCAAUCUUAAAGCAAUAAUUUUUUUCACUUUGCAGGGCCGCCUGCGAGAUAGUACAGUACCUCACAAGAAUAGAACACCGCUGUUGGUAAAUGAAAGAGGGAAGAAGUGUUAAGACCAGUCAAACAGCAUGCCUUCCAUUCAUACUGCAGAUACCAUUUGACACAAGAGCUCUUCAGGGGCCAGUUAUUCCAGGCCAUUGAAUCCAGAUCAAAACCAGCC